rfam:Triticum aestivum genome assembly, contig: Triticum_aestivum_CS42_TGACv1_scaffold_407064_5BL
CACAUACUCCCUCUGUCCGGAAAUACUUGUCAUCAAAAUGAAAAAAAAAGAGAUGUAUCUAAAACAAAAAUACAUCUACAUACAUCCCCUUUUAUUCAUUUUGAUGACAAGUAUUUACGGACGGAGGAAGUAUAAG